ACAUGCCUACAACAUAGCGUUAAUGCAUCAGAUAACAUUAGAACUCUACAGUUAAGUGUGCUUAGGCUAGAGUAGUACCAGGAUGGGUGAUCCCCGAGAAGUAUUAGUGUUUUACAUGCC
rnacentral:rRNA from 1 species